CCUACGGGAGGCAGCAGUGGGGAAUAUUGGGCAAUGGGCGCAAGCCUGACCCAGCAACGCCGCGUGAAGGAAGAAGGCUUUCGGGUUGUAAACUUCUUUUCUCAGGGACGAAGCAAGUGACGGUACCUGAGGACUAAGCCACGGCUAACUACGUGCAAGCAGCCGCGUUAAUACGUAGGUGGCAAGCGUUAUCCGGAUUUACUUGGUGUAAAGCGCGUGUAGGCGGGACUGCAAGUCAGAUGUGAAAACCACGGGCUAAACCUGUGGCCUGCAUUUGAAACUGUAGUUCGUGAGUACUGGAGAGGCAGACGGAAUGCCUAGGGGAGCGGUGAAAUGCGUAGAUAUUAGGAGGAACACCAGUGGCGAAGGCGGUCGGCUGGACAGCAACUGACGCUGAGGCGCGAAAGCGUGGGGAGCAAACAGGAUUAGAUACCCGAGUAGUC
rnacentral:rRNA from 1 species